rnacentral:rRNA from 1 species
AUUGAACGCUGGCGGCAUGCCUUACACAUGCAAGUCGAACGGUAACGCGGGGCAACCUGGCGACGAGUGGCGAACGGGUGAGUAAUGCAUCGGAACGUGCCUGGUAGUGGGGGAUAACUGCUCGAAAGAGCAGCUAAUACCGCAUACGACCUGAGGGUGAAAGGGGGGGAUCGCAAGACCUCUCGCUAUCAGAGCGGCCGAUGUCGGAUUAGCAAGUUGGUGGGGUAAAGGCCCACCAAGGCGACGAUCCGGAGCUGGUCUGGGAGGACGACCAGCCACACUGGGACUGAGACACGGCCCAGACUCCUACGGGAGGCAGCAGUGGGGAAUUUUGGACAAUGGACGCAAGUCUGAUCCAGCCAUGCCGCGUGCGGGAAGAAGGCCUUCGGGUUGUAAACCGCUUUUGUCAGGGAAGAAAUCUUCUGGGCUAAUACCCUGGGAGGAUGACGGUACCUGAAGAAUAAGCACCGGCUAACUACGUGCCAGCCGCCGCCGUAAUAC